UACGAAGGGGGCAAGCGUUGUCCGGAUUCAUUGGGCGUAAAGAGCUCGUAGGCGGCUUGGCAAGUCGGGUGUGAAAACUCCAGGCUCAACCUGGAGAUGCCACUCGAGACUGCUAUGGCUAGAGUCCGGUAGGGGACCACGGAAUUCCUGGUGUAGCGGUGAAAUGCGCAGAUAUCAGGAGGAACACCGGUGGCGAAGGCGGCGUUCUGGACUGCAACUGACACUGAGGAACGAAAGCCAGGGGAGCAAACGGG
rnacentral:rRNA from 1 species